rnacentral:rRNA from 1 species
GUGGGUAGUUUGACUGGGGCGGUCUCCUCCCAAAGCGUAACGGAGGAGCACGAAGGUUAGCUAAUCCUGGUCGGACAUCAGGAGGUUAGUGCAAUGGCAUAAGCUAGCUUGACUGCGAGCGUGACGGCGCGAGCAGGUGCGAAAGCAGGUCAUAGUGAUCCGGUGGUUCUGAAUGGAAGGGCCAUCGCUCAACGGAUAAAAGGUACUCCGGGGAUAACAGGCUGAUACCGCCCAAGAGUUCAUAUCGACGGCGGUGUUUGGCACCUCGAUGUCGGCUCAUCACAUCCUGGGGCUGAAGUAGGUCCCAAGGGUAUGGCUGUUCGCCAUUUAAAGUGGUACGCGAGCUGGGUUUAGAACGUCGUGAGACAGUUCGGUCCCUAUCUGCCGUGGGCGCUGGAGAAUUGAGGGGGGCUGCUCCUAGUACGAGAGGACCGGAGUGGACGCAUCACUGGUGUUCGGGUUGUCAUGCCAAUG